rfam:Schistosoma mattheei strain Denwood, Zambia genome assembly, scaffold: SMTD_scaffold0000147
GCACUGAUGAGGAGUCUCACAAUAAAACGAAACGGCCGUCCAGUAC